AAAUGUAGUUGACUAUAAGUAUACUUAUAGCAGACAAUGUAUACUAAGUACACUACGUUUUC
rfam:Danio rerio chromosome 2, GRCz11 reference primary assembly.